rnacentral:rRNA from 1 species
UACGUAGGGAGCAAGCGUUGUCCGGAGUUACUGGGCGUAAAGCGCACGCAGGCGGUCUGUUAAGUUUGGAGUGACAGUUGGUGGCUUAACUGCCAAAGUGCUUCGAAAACUGAUCGACUUGAGGGCUUCAGAGGGACACGGAAUUCCGGGUGGAGUGGUGAAAUGCGUAGAGAUCCGGAGGAACACCGAAGGCGAAGGCAGUGUCCUGGGGAGUACCUGACGCUCAGGUGCGAAAGCCAGGGGAGCGAACGGG